GCUUUUCCAAGUGACGCCCCUAAUUGAUUUUUACUUAGGGGCACCUCUUCCCUGUACCAGAAGCCUCCGACCGUCGUUGGGCCCCCGCCCUCUACUAUGACCACGGGCGGCGUUGCCCUCUCCUCCUUCCCCUUCCCUUCCCUGCUCAUGUUGUCUUCGAUCGUGAGGAAGGAGGGGGAGAGGUGACCACAGUGGCUUCGGCCUUGCUGAGGGAGCGGGUGACGAGGGCGCCACCACCGAGUGGGGAGGGCGCAGCGACAUGCUACGAUGGCGCCAGCGGAGGAGGCAGUGCUGGUAACAGGGAGGAGGAGAGGGUGGCGCCACUCACCGUCGGAGCGGGGGGCAGUGGAGGCUAUUACGGUCAGAGGCUGCGCAUUUUUGUCGAAUUGAUGCCCGAGGUGAAAACUAGUUAGAGGUGAAUGUAAAAUGCCCAAAUUGGUCCUCCAUGUGAUAGCGGCUUCUUAUUGCCUGUGAUUGUAAAUGCCUACCGGUAAUAAUCGUACCACUCCACGUGGCUUAACUUACCAUGGUAUUUUGUCCUCCAUCAUUCAUCAACGUGGACACGUUCACACUCAGUAUAGAUAUUAUGUGAAACAAUAGAAAGUUUGGCAACUAACUUGUGUGCCAUAUCCUUUCCAGGUUGCUAAAUAUGGAAAGACGUACCGACUUAGUACUCCUUUUUGUUAUUAUUUUAAUGAUAAAUAUUUUUCCUUUCUGUAUAGUUGACUCGAAGACACUAAAAUAGACUUCAUAAAGCGCCGAUUUAAACUAAAUAAAUAGAAAGGGCUACUUGUUUUCUUUUCUUUUUUAAAAUUUAUCUUAUAAUUCCUUUAUUUAAUGAGUUUAUUUAAAAAGAAUCCAAUGAGUGCAGUGCGGAGCUCACCGUCGCCGCCUUGUUUGACCACCAAUUUCCACGUGGUAGUCAACCCAGCCGCCACGCUCACCUGACCCGUUCAACA
rnacentral:lncRNA from 1 species